GAUGAACGCUGGCGGCGCGCCUAAUACAUGCAAGUCGAGCGAACGGACGAGAAGCUUGCUUCUCUGAUGUUAGCGGCGGACGGGUGAGUAACACGUGGAUAACCUACCUAUAAGACUGGGAUAACUUCGGGAAACCGGAGCUAAUACCGGAUGAUAUUUUGAACCGCAUGGUUCAAAAGUGAAAGACGGUCUUGCUGUCACUUAUAGAUGGAUCCGCGCUGCAUUAGCUAGUUGGUAAGGUAACGGCUUGCCAAGGCAACGAUGCAUAGCCGACCUGAGAGGGUGAUCGGCCACACUGGAACUGAGACACGGUCCAGACUCCUACGGGAGGCAGCAGUAGGGAAUCUUCCGCAAUGGGCGAAAGCCUGACGGAGCAACGCCGCGUGAGUGAUGAAGGUCUUCGGAUCGUAAAACUCUGUUAUUAGGGAAGAACAUAUGUGUAAGUAACUGUGCACAUCUUGACGGUACCUAAUCAGAAAGCCACGGCUAACUACGUG
rnacentral:rRNA from 1 species